AAUCAAGUAUGAUGAGAACGGUGUCCAACGGAAAACGUAUGCUGAAACCUCAAAGACAGCAAAUGACGCCGAAACACAAACCUACACGAUUGAGUUCCCCAAGCUUUUCCAUGAAAUUUCCAUGAGAAAUCAAGUACUUCGCUUAGAUCCUCCUCUGGAGUACGCAAGAGCUAGCUGGUUUGCUCAUUUCGACCAAUGGGUUGGAGUUCUUUGCAAUCUAGAGAAAAUUAAAUCGGCGCGAUAUAAGAUGUCAAUCGAGACGGAAAAGGCUCGGCUAUCCGAAACCCACUUCACAAAUCUCCCACAAUAUUGUACCAGUGAAUUAGUCGAGGUGUAUUCUGUAAUUGGUGCUAGACUAGAAGACAUCUCGGACUACGUGGAUAAAUGGCUACAAUUUCAAUCCUUGUGGGAUCUUCAAGCCUCCCAAGUUUACGACACGCUGGGUGACGAUUUGUCCCGAUGGUUGCAACUUCUCCAGGAAAUCCGUAAAAGCCGCGCAACAUUUGAUACUUCUGAAGUUGGCAAAUCAUUCGGCAAUGUUAGGAUCGAUUAUGAGCAAGUGCAGACCAAGGUUAAUGCCAGAUAUGACCAAUGGCAACACGAAAUUUUGCACAAGUUUGGCGGCAAGUUUGCCAGUCGUAUGCGCGAAGUCCAUGAUGAAAUCGUCUCUGCCAAGAAAGAUCUGGAGAGCCAGACGCUGGAAGCUUCAUCAACUGCA
rnacentral:sRNA from 2 species